rnacentral:rRNA from 1 species
UACACUCCUACGGGAGGCAGCAGUAGGGAAUCUUCCACAAUGGGUGCAAACCUGAUGGAGCAAUGCCGCGUGAGUGAAGAAGGUCUUCGGAUCGUAAAGCUCUGUUGUUAGAGAAGAACACGUGCUAGGUAACUACUAGCGCCUUGACGGUAUCUAACCAGAAAGUAACGGCUAACUACGUGCCAGCAGCCGCGGUAAUACGUAGGUGACAAGCGUUGUCCGGAUUUAUUGGGCGUAAAGGGAGCGCAGGCGGUCUGUUUAGUCUAAUGUGAAAGCCCACGGCUUAACCGUGGAACGGCAUUGGAAACUGACAGACUUGAAUGUAGAAGAGGAAAAUGGAAUUCCAAGUGUAGCGGUGGAAUGCGUAGAUAUUUGGAGGAACACCAGUGGCGAAGGCGAUUUUCUGGUCUAACAUUGACGCUGAGGCUCGAAAGCGUGGGGAGCGAACAGGAUUAGAAACCCCAGUAGUCCCAUGAU